rnacentral:rRNA from 1 species
ACGGAGGGGGUUAGCGUUGUUCGGAAUUACUGGGCGUAAAGCGCACGUAGGCGGAUUAGUAAGUUAGAGGUGAAAUCCCAGGGCUCAACCCUGGAACUGCCUUUAAUACUGCUAGUCUUGAGUUCGAGAGAGGUAAGUGGAAUUCCGAGUGUAGAGGUGAAAUUCGUAGAUAUUCGGAGGAACACCAGUGGCGAAGGCGGCUUACUGGCUCGAUACUGACGCUGAGGUGCGAAAGUGUGGGGAGCAAACAGG